rnacentral:rRNA from 1 species
AUUGAACGCUAGCGGCAGGCCUAACACAUGCAAGUCGAGCGGAGCGGCGGACGGGUGAGUAAUGCCUAGGAAUCUGCCUGGUAGUGGGGGAUAACGUCCGGAAACGGGCGCUAAUACCGCAUACUAUCAGAUGAGCCUAGGUCGGAUUAGCUAGUUGGUGGGGUAAAGGCAUACCAGGGAGACGAUCCGUCAAUGCUCUGAGAGGAUGAGCAGUCACACUGGAACGGCGACACGGUCCAGACGCUGACGGGAGGCAGCAGUGGGGAAUUGGGGACAAUGGGCGAAAGCCUGAUCCAGCCAUGCCGCGUGUGUGAAGAAGGUCUUCGGAUUGUAAAGCACUUUAAGUUGGGAGGCGUUACCAACAGAAUAAGCACCGGCUAACUUCGUGCCAGCAGCCGCGGUAAUUC